AGGGCGUACGGUGAAUGCCUUGGUGCCAACAGGCGAAGAAGGACGCGGCAAGCUGCGAAAAGCCUCGGGAAGCUGCAAGCAAGCGAUGAUCCGGGGAUAUCCGAAUGGGGUAACCUGAUCGAGGCAAUACUCGAUCGUUCAUACCUGAAUACAUAGGGUAUGAAACGCGAAACCCGCUGAAGUGAAACAUCUCAGUAAGCGGAGGAAAAGAAAGAGAAAUCGAUUCCGUAAGUAGUGGCGAGCGAAAGCGGAUGGAGCCCAAACCGAAGGUAUUCCUUCGGGGUUGUAGGACCACGUCAUAUUCGACCAUACUGGAUAGUAGAACAGCCUGGAAAGGCUGGCCGGAGAAGGUGAAAGCCCUGUAGACGAAAUCCAGAGUGGGAAUUAGUGGUAUCCUGAGUAAUACAUCACACGUGGAACGAUGUAUGAACCCGCGCGGACCACCGCGCAAGGCUAAAUACUAGUUGGCGACCGAUAGUGAACAAGUACCGCGAGGGAAAGGUGAAAAGAACCGCUGUGAGCGGAGUGAAAUAGAACCUGAAACCGUAUGUCUACAAAGUGUCAGAGCAGAGCAAUCUGCGAUGGCGUGCCUUUUGUUUAAUGAGUCUGCGAGUCAGUGUUUGUGGCAAGACUAAGGGCUUCCGGCCCGGAGUCGCAGCGAAAGCAAGUCCGAACAGGGCGCAAUAAGUCGCAGGUACUGGACCCGAAGCGGAGGUGACCUACCCUUGGCCAGGUUGAAGCAUGGGUAAAACCAUGUGGAGGACCGAACAGGUGAACGUUGAAAAGUUCUCUGAUGAGCUGAGGGUAGGAGUGAAAGGCUAAUCAAACCCCGUGAUAGCUGGUUCUCUUCGAAAUGCAUUUAGGUGCAGCGUCAUUGUCGAGAGGGAAACAACCCAGAUCAGCAGCUAAGGUGCCUAAAUAACGCUCAGUGGAAAGGAUGUGGGAUUACACAGACAGUGAGGAUGUUGGCUUAGAAGCAGCCACCAUUUAAAAAAUGCGUAAUAGCUUACUCAUCGAGUGAUCCUGCGCCGAAAAUGAUUGGCGAUCAAGCGUUAUACCGAAGCUCUGGACUUUGCCGCAAGGCAGAGUGGUAGAAGAGCGUUGCAUGCGCGUCGAAGGGCGAUGGCGACUGACCCUGGAGCACAUGCAAGUGAGUAUGCAGACAUGAGUAACGUUAAGCCGGGUGAAAUCCCCGGCCGCCGUAAACCCGAGGUUUCCAGGGCAACGUGUUUCGUCCCUGGGUUAGCCGGGACCUAAGCCGAGGCCGAGAGGCGUAGGCGAUGGACAUCAGGUUAAUAAUCCUGAGCUCGCAACCCUUAAACUGGGGGGACGCAUGAGAAAAGAUGACUAGGUUAUUGAAUUCCGAGUUGAGUCCACGGACUCAGCGCAUCAUUGGAUCGAGUGCCAAGAAAAGCCCCAGCGUAUGCUAAGCGACCCGUACCGCAAACCGACACAGGUGGGUGGGUAGAAUAUACCAAGGCGUAAGAGUGAAACCUGGUUAAGGAACUCGGCAAAUUAGCCCCGUAACUUCGGAAGAAGGGGUGCCUGCAGCGAUGUAGGCCGCAGAGAAAUGGCCCAACCGACUGUUUAUCAAAAACACAGCACUCUGCAAAGACGCAAGUCGAAGUAUAGGGUGUGACACGUGACCAAUGCCGAAAGAUUAAGGCAAGGGGUUAGCCGCAAGGCGAAGCUCUAAACCCAAGUCCCGGUGAAUGUCGGCCGUAACUAUAACGGUCCUAAGGUAGCGAAAUUCCUUGUCGGGUAAGUUCCGACCUGCACGAAUCGUGAAACGAGUUGGGCACUGUCUCAACCAGGCGCUCAGUGAAAUUGUAGUGGCGGUGAAGAUGCCGCCUACCCGCAGAAGGACGGAAAGACCCUAUAGACCUUAACUGUAAGCUGUCAUUGUUUCUUCGGUUUUAAUGCUCAGAGUAAGUGGGAGACGCUGAAGAUGCCCUUUAGGGGGCGUCCGAGUCAUCAAUGAGACACCACCCUUUGAAACUGGAGGAUCUAACCCUGAGCCGUGAAUCCGGCCAGAGGACCGUGUCAGCCGGUCAGUUUUACUGGGGCGGUAUCCUCCCAAAGAGUAACGGAGGAGCGCGAAGGUGGGCUCAGCCCGGUUGGCAACCGGGUGUCGAGUGCAUGGGCAUAAGCCCGCCUAACUGUGAGACCAACAAGUCGAGCAGAUGCGAAAGCAGGCCCAAGUGAUCCGGCGGUAGAAAGUGGAAUUGCCGUCGCUCAACGGAUAAAAGGUACCUUAGGGAUAACAGGCUGAUCACGCCCAAGAGUUCAUAUCGACGGCGUGGUUUGGCACCUCGAUGUCGGCUCGUCGCAUCCUGGGGCUGGAGAAGGUCCCAAGGGUCCGGCUGUUCGCCGGUUAAAGCGGCACGCGAGCUGGGUUCAGAACGUCGCGAGACAGUUCGGUCCUCUAUCCUCUGUGGGCGUUGGAAAAUUGAGGGGUUCAGACCUUAGUACGAGAGGACCGGGUCUGACGCACCACUGGUGCAUCGGUUGUACUGUCAAGUGCAUGGCCGAGUAGCUAAGUGCGGACGGGAUAAGCGCUGAAAGCAUCUAAGCGCCAAGCCCUUCCCAAGAUGAGUUUUCCCUACAGGUUCGUGGAAGACCACCACGUUGAUAGGUCGCAGGUGUAAGUGCAGCAAUGUAUUGAGCCGAGCGAUACUAAUUACCAAUUGACUUCAUC
rnacentral:rRNA from 1 species